AUGCCAUGAUGGGGACACUUUCGUAAUAACUCCUUGAACCUCUCCCAUACCUCAUGUAAAUAUUCUUAAUCAAGUUGUUGAAAUGUAGUAAUUUCAUUGAAAAGUUU
rnacentral:snoRNA from 1 species